rnacentral:rRNA from 1 species
UACGAAGGGGGCGAGCGUUGUUCGGAAUCACUGGGCGUAAAGCGUGCGUAGGCGGUCCCGCAAGUUGGGAGUGAAAGCCCAGGGCUCAACCCUGGAAUUGCUCACAAAACUACGGGACUGGAAUUCGGGAGAGGAUAGCGGAAUUUCCAGUGUAGUAGUGAAAUACGUAGAUAUUGGAAGGAACACCAGUGGCGUAGGCGGCUAUCUGGCCCGACAUUGACGCUGAGGCACGAAAGCGUGGGGAUCAAACAGG